rnacentral:lncRNA from 1 species
ACACACAGAGACACACCGCGACACACACACACACACGCGCGCAUACACACAGCCCGACACACACGCACGCGCGCUUCUUAAAGGAGACGGCUCAUAAAGGAUUCCCCACUACGCCAGCAGAGGGGAAGAGGAGCCCACGGGAAAGAAAAGCAGGCGAGGUUAAGAAUAAAGAGUGUUCCAGGUAUGACAGCUACCUCGGUGAGGUGGAAGAGAGAAUUGACAAGGCAAAUUUCAUGGGUGAGUUGGAAAGGCAAGAAGCAGGACUACAAGAGGUCCUAUGUGGAUAGCACAGAAGCAGAGACUUUAAGUCUAAACAGACCUAGAUUCAGAGCCGACCCGAUGCUGCUUGAAGAAGGCUGGAGGUAUGUUAAGGAGACAAGGGCUGUCAAGAAGCAGGGAUGUCUCUGGAAAGGUUCCCCUUGCUGCUGCCAUGUGAAGAAGGACAUGUUUGCUUCCCCUUCUGCCAUCAUUGUUAUUCAUGUUAGGCUCCUGAAAACACCACAAGGACCUACCCUCCGGGAGCCAGCCAGAGAACCCUUCUUCCUGCACUGUCUCCGUUAUGCCCAACAUUUCUGGGCAUAAGUUUUAAUAAACCUUACCUGGGAAAAGUUUGUUUGGCCUCGUGUUAAUUGCUAUUAUAUGGAGAGCCAAGAAUCUCGAACCAGUAAGAGUUGUGAAGUCACCCUCAAUAUUUCCCAAGUCUUCAAAGGAAUUGAGACACUAUAAUCAUUACCCAGGACUCCACGCUUGUCAAAUUUGUUGAUGACCUCCUACUUUGCAACCAAACUGAAUAGAAUGCUUGUAUAGACUCCCUAAUCCUUCUGAAGGUACUGACUGAGCAAGGCUACAAAGCCUCCAAAUCUAAAUGUCCAUGGGUACAGACAACUGACUUAUUUAGGCCAUAAAGCAUCUCGGAGCACUAAAAAACUCACAGUAAAAUAUCUUGAAGGAAUUUUGACAAUCUUUUCUUAAGAAGAAAGAAAAAAAACCAGAAAUUUUUAGAGGCAGCUGGUUAUUGCCAUCAAUGGAUUCUUAAUUUUGCCAUCCUAGCCAAGCCUUUAUAUGUUUUCCUCUCAGGUAUAACCUCAGAACCCCUUUUAUGGCCCUCUGAGACACUGGCCUCCUUUGAAGCAUUAAAAUAAGCAUUAUCUACACCCCCAGCUCUCAGUUUAUCCAAUUUUGACAAACCUUUUCAACAAUAUUGCCAUGAAAUUAAUGAGAUUGUUGCUAGUAUUCUAGAACAGCCGUUUGUCUCUCAAUUACUUUUUAUGGCAUAUUUCUUAUUUCGAUCAACCCUGUGACAUCAGGCAUGCCUCCAUGCCUGUGUGCGAAAGCCACAGCUGCCACCCUAAUGGAAAAAGCCUUUAUUCUUACAUUAGGCCUCCCUACUCACCUCUAUGUUACCCUUGAUGUGUCAGCGCUCUUACAAGCUCAUAAAACACAGCACCCUCUUUAUACAAUGGCAGACCACUGAUGAACAGGACCUAUUAACAAUUCUCUCUCUAUUGUAUCAUUGUAACACCCUGAACCGUGCUAUUCUAUUACUCCUCCUUGAUGAUGGACAGCCCAUUCUAUUCUACGUGAUUCCUUUGUAGCUAUAUAAAUGGUCUCAAAACUAUGAUUUUUUAGACAUCUUCUUAGACAGUCCAGACUUCUGUUUUGUCAUGGCUGUCAAGCAGAAUUCUCACCGAUACAUAGUAACUGACUGUGCCAUGGUUUCCUUAAAUGAAACACUUGAGACAAAUUCUGCCUUCUAUAUAAUCAGCCUGAACCACUGAGUCUAGAUCUUACACGAGCCUUGGCAAAGAGAAAACUGACACUAUUUACACUUGAGAUGUGCUUUGGACUCUGCCAUACUGUUGGCUGUAUUGAAAAGUCCCGUUUCUGACCUCUGCUGGUACCCCUAUUGCCAAUGGCCAUGUAAUUGUUAACCUAUUACGCCUAUUCAUCUUCUAAUUGAGGUUGCUUUUGUUUAUUGUUGGCACAUGCCAAGGAGACUGACACUGUAUCUCUGGUAGACAAUACGUCUGACAAAGCUGCCAAACAUGAACCCCCAACUCUGGCAAUAACCCAUUUUUUAACCCAGCUUACAACCCUGCCUUUAACACUUACUGACGUCAAUAAUAUUUGGCAGAUACCCUACAAUGAAAAAAAAGGCUGCAAGAAGAUUCCAGACAAUUGUUAGAAGGAUUAUACGUUGGACCAAAUGGACUUCCUAUAGUCCUUUAUCUUUUAUUGUUUUGUGCUUCUAUUUAUUGCCCAUCAAAUGGAAUAUAUGUGUAAAGAAGGGCAAAUCAAAGAGGUAAAUGACAGUGAUUUUGCCCUGGAAUCCACAGAAUUUCUGAUCAAAUUAUUUACCAAUGUAUUACUUGUAAAUCUUAUGAUAUUUCUGGAUGUAAGUAGCAUACCCCAUGAAAUCCUCUGAGACCCACAUUCCCUUUGCAACACUCCUGGUGGACUUUAUAGAUUUCCCUCAGGAUUCAGGUUAUUCUCAUUAUAGGUUGACUAUACCUAAUCUGAAAAUCCAAAAUCUGAAAUGAUACAAAUCCAAAACGUUAUGAGUGUUGUCAUAAUGCUCAAUGGAAAUGCUCAUGAAAGCAUUUUUUAUUUAAGGUCUUUGGAUUAAGGAUGCUCAUCCAGUAAAUAUGAUACAGCUAUUCCAGUGUCCAAAACUAUCCCAAAUCUGAAACACUUCUGGUCCCACCCAAGCAUUUCAGAUAAGGAAUACUCAACUCAUAAUUGGUGAUUACCUGCACAGUUAGUAGAUGGACUGAGUACUAUCCAACUAGACAUGCUGAUGCCACAUGGUAGUAAUGAAAAAAAAAAUUGAGAUUAUUCUUCAUUUUGGCAUUACUUAAUGUAUUAAAUCAGACCAAGGAACUCACUUAACAACAGAAGUAAAUCACAUGUUCACAAAAACUCUAGGAUAGUCAUUAAAAUUCUAUACUCUUUACCAUCCUCAGUCCUCAGAGAGGUGGAAUGUGAUAAUUUAGACAGCAAAAGAACUAUAAAAUAUGUCAGUACAAUAGACCUAAGUGGCCAGAAGCAUCACCCCUGACCCCAAUAAAAUCUGGAAAACCCCAAACAAGAGAGAUGGAUUAACUGCUUUUUGAAUAAUUUUUGAUAGCUUUAUGCCUAUUAGCAUCUCCAAACUUUUUGUUCCUGAAGUGAGUGAGCAUUAUGGGGACCUGAGUGAAAGGUUCAGUAUUAUGACUAGAUAUCUAAAAGAACUAUCUCUUGUACUUGGAGCUUACCAUUAACAGGCAAAAAAGUCAUGGCCAUUGUCUACCAACAAGCUUUCUAUCCCUUUUGACCAAGCUAUCAAGUAUACAUCAAAAUUUUGACAAGAAAGCAUACACUGUCAUCUUUCUGGGAAGUACCUUGUGAAGCAUUGCUGAACACCUACAUGGCCAUCAAAAUAAAAAGAAAUAUUUCCUGGAUUCAUGCAAGUCAUGCCAAGCUAGACCCAGAUCAUAAUUUCCAGAAAAAUUGAAAAGCUAUUCUUACAGCUGACUUCAAACCAAGGAUUUUCAGGGCCAAUUCACAGGGUCCCAAAGCAGAUGACAACAUAAAGUGGACUAUUUUUUCCAAUAUCUUGGAUCAAGAACUACCUUUCCACCUAUUUUCCCUUGAUAUCUUUCUCUUCUCUGACCAAAGGAAAAAAAAGUAAAUAAAAACCUUAAAAACCUCUUUGAGCUUUAAACAGAAACCUUCCCCUUUAUUUAUUGAUGGACUGUCUAGAGAUUGCUACUUUUUUCUUCUUCUGUUUCUUCACAAUGAGAUAUUUUCUAAACUGUGUCUUGCUUCAACUAACCCUUAUGGCUUUUUUUGACAAUUCUAGCAUAAAUCCAGCACCUACUCGCGCCAGUCUUCUAAACACUGGCAACUUUCAUCAAUCCGAAUUUUGGUUAUGUCAACAUAUCGGUAUACAGAAGAAGCUAACUAGUUUUUGUUUCUGCCAAUGCAAACACCUGGUGGACACAGACUGGACUAUGGAUGUACAAAAGGGUAUGGUAUCUACAAACAGGAAGACAAAAAUCAUGCCACCUCUCUUUCUGGUAAACUGAUUUGGCGCUUGGAAAAUUCCAUGGAAGCUCAAGUUCUAUUCUUUGUUCAGGUGAUGUUAUUGAAUGGACAAAUUUCCCUUUUCAUUGGAAACAGAAAUGGUACUGGACCCUUUCUAGGUAAGAUACCAUGACAACACUGAAAUCAAACCAUGGGGUAAUUUCAAACCCUGCAGAAAUGUCAUAGAUGGUUCUAUUACUAACUUUUAAGAUACAAGCAUUUGUAUGGUCACUGGGUGUCACUCUUGGUUUAUGGGCCAUGCUAGCAGGAUCUGGAAUAGCUUAGCUGUUUCUCUGAUCAGGCUGCUUAUUCUAAAAAAUCGUAUGUGGGUAAACCAAAAUUUUUUAUUAACUUGGUUAGGUGGUAAAAGUGAUUUUCAUAACUGCCAAGAUCAGGCUGUAGGUCUUCUCUAGGAAAUAUUUUACAACUUCUUUUGCUCUUACAUCCUGAUAGAGACACAUGUAAAUAGAGAAGCACAGAUCCAACAUAACUGGUGACAGAGGUUGUGAAAGACAUCAGAUCCCAACUUCGUGAGUCACAGUUUCCCCUCUGACCUUGUUCAUGAACAACACUAGUUUCUGCAUUUCAAGGGGCAAAAAAGUAUAUAUUAAUAAAGUGUUUCUACUUAAAUGCUGAGGGCAAUGUGAAUUUGUAUACCUGGCACCCUCCUUCACGGGGAAUUGUACGUUAAAUGCAAGCUAAAUUGCAAAUCUGAGCUCCUAUGUUCAUAAGAUAACACCACAUGGAUGUACUCAAUGAGACAUCAUAGAAAACCCACUUGUGUCUUACAGCUCCAACCUCUAUUUAGUGAUGAAGACCUUUUUUCCAAGUUUUGAAACAUAUGAUUUAGAAAGAAUGAUGGUAGAUAUUUCCAAAGUAAUACAACCAAUAUGCAAUAACACGUAAAGUCUCUAGGAGCACUCCAAUUGGGAGUUAAAGUUUAGCUUCUGAUGCGCUCCAAAAUUGUCCCAUUCUGGAUACACUGAAGUAUUCGGAAUGAGACAAUUUUGGAGCACAACAAAAGGUGGAACUUGAGCAAUUAUGGGAAAACAAUGCUGCUUUUAUGUAAAUCACACAGGAAAAAUUGUGUCAAAUUCACACCUUUGGGAAAAAAAGGUUAAUAUUCUUCAUCAAAUAAAUGAGGCAUAGUCUUUAACUAGGCUGACCUAUUCCCAAGAUGGGGAGACAGGUUCAGUGGGGUAUGGGGCAUUGUGCUUAGAUUUAUUAUUUUCUGCUUAUUCAUCCUUGUUCUAAUCUAUGUUCUUCUCUCCCUUUGCAGAUCUCUUGCCUCACAGCUUCUAACCCAAAUCUUAUUUCUACAGCAACCAACACAGCUUCUCGUUUGUAAAACUUCUCAAGAUGUUUCAAAAUGGAAGAAAUACCAAAACCCACAAAGAAUCCUUGAGUUGGUAUGGUUAUUUUUAGUUGAGGACAUUUGAGAUUCCACAGAUGCAGAAAAGAAUCUUCUCAGAGCUUCCUUCUUCUGAUUAAAAGCAGCCACUUCUGGGAAAUAAGGCUGGCAUAAAUCCUCUCUUGAGAGUGGCUUUACUCCCAGAAACAAGACCAAGGGUAAAUCUACCAUAAAUCCCCUCUCCAGGGGAGUUUGAUGGCCAUAAAGAAGAUGAAAAGAGUUCUCACACCUGCAUAAACAAAUGUUAUCACAAACUUUCUUAUCUCUUGUUUGUUCUCCCAAAAAACUAUUUGUCUUUCCUAAAGAAAUCCAUUUGUUUUCCUUAUAGAAGUCUUUUCUCCCGGCUUGCUUCUCCUAUUAAGUUAGAUAUAUAAACUUCUAAUUUAACUUUUAGGAAACUACUUCUUUUGUAAGCUCUUGUAUGCAAAUAAACUGUUUUAUUCUCUUGUUAAUGUGUAUUUUCACAGCAUAUCCUCCACCCAGAUCCUGAAUUUGAGAGGGUAGAGGAAAAGUUUUCCUCUCCAACACUUUCGUUCUCUGUCAAUGGCUUCACUGGAUUGCUAGUCUUCCUAUUAAAAGCGGCAAUUUAUUCUUCCAAAGUUAGUUUCUAAAUAAUAUUCCAUAGAAUUUUCUUUUUAAAUAACCAGGUAAUACCUACGUUGACAUCAAGAGAGCACCAUGGUCAGUAAUUUUAAUACCCCAGGAACAUACUUUUAAGUAUACAUUGUUUUUCAACCAAUAUUGGAAAGGGAAAGUUCCAAACCAUACUAAUUGGACCUACA